rnacentral:sRNA from 1 species
CGGGUGGCGGCGGCCGGGGCAAGGCUCAGCGUUCUGGCGAGCGGUCUCCGCGCCGCGGUCCGCAGCCUUUGCAGCCAGGCCACCUCUGUUAACGAACGCAUCGAAAACAAGCGCCGGACCGCGCUGCUGGGAGGAGGCCAACGCCGUAUUGACGCGCAGCACAAGCGAAGGAAUGUUAUGGCAUCCGGAGUCAUCCCUCAGAUUUCUCUGAUCAUGGGCCCAUGUGCUGGUGGGGCCGUCUACUCCCCCGCCCUAACGGACUUCACGUUCAUGGUAAAGGACACCUCCUACCUGUUCAUCACUGGCCCUGAUGUUGUGAAGUCUGUCACCAAUGAGGAUGUUACUCAGGAGGAGCUCGGUGGUGCCAAGACCCACACCACCAUGUCAGGUGUGGCCCACAGAGCUUUUGAAAAUGAUGUUGAUGCCUUGUGUAAUCUCCGGGAUUUCUUCAACUACCUGCCCCUGAGCAGUCAGGACCCGGCUCCUGUCCGUGAGUGCCAUGAUCCCAGUGACCGUCUGGUUCCUGAGCUCGACACAAUUGUCCCUUUGGAAUCAACCAAAGCCUACAACAUGGUGGACAUCAUACACUCUGUUGUUGAUGAGCGUGAAUUUUUUGAGAUCAUGCCCAAUUAUGCCAAGAACAUCGUUGUUGGUUUUGCAAGAAUGAAUGGGAGGACUGUUGGAAUUGUUGGCAACCAACCUAAGGUGGCCUCAGGAUGCUUGGAUGUUAAUUCAUCUGUGAAAGGGGCUCGUUUUGUCAGAUUCUGUGAUGCAUUCAAUAUUCCACUCAUCACUUUUGUUGAUGUCCCUGGCUUUCUACCUGGCCUAUGGAGGUGCCUAUGAUGUCAUGAGCUCUAAGCACCUUUGUGGUGAUACCAACUAUGCCUGGCCCACCGCAGAGAUUGCAGUCAUGGGAGCAAA